UGUUAAAAAGUUCAUCGAUUUCUAUUGUUAAAAAUUGGCGUGACUAACAGAAUAGAUAGACAUCUACACAUGGCGUGCCAUGUGUACCUCAUAUUGACAUACCAAGACCAAUUUUUAAUAGUGGAAAUAGAGAUAAAAUUUUUAAUA
rfam:Gossypium hirsutum cultivar TM-1 chromosome 17, whole genome shotgun sequence